AACCUUUGUGAGGGCACCUUCUCAAAAGAUCCUUCAAUCUCUCUCAUGCAUUAUAUAAUGUCUCCAAAUCAAUUUGAGCAAAAGAAGAGGUAUCAUUCCUAAAGUU
rfam:Gossypium hirsutum cultivar TM-1 chromosome 24, whole genome shotgun sequence